rnacentral:rRNA from 1 species
AGCAGCCGCGGUAAUUCCAGCUCCAAUAGCGUAUAUUAAAGUUGUUGCAGUUAGAAAGCUCGUAGUUGAAUUUCGGGGUUAGUAGAUUGGUCAUGCCUCUGGUAUGUACUGGUCUCACUGAUUCCUCCUUCCUGAUGAACCUUAAUGCCAUUAAUUUGGUGUUUUGGGGAAUUUGGACUGUUACUUUGAAAAAAUUAGAGUGUUUAAAGCAAGCUAACGCUUGAAUACAUUAGCAUGGAAUAAUGAAAUAGGACGUUCGAUCCUAUUUUGUUGGUUUCUAGGAUUGACGUAAUGAUUAAUAGGGAUAGUUGGGGGCAUUAGUAUUCAAUUGUCAGAGGUGAAAUUCUUGGAUUUAUUGAAGACUAACUACUGCGAAAGCAUUUGCCAAGGAUGUUUUCAUUAAUCAAGAACGAAAGUUAGGGGAUCGAAGACGAUCAGAUACCGUCGUAGUCUUAACCAUAAACUAUGCCGACUAGGGAUCGGAUGAUGUUAAUUUUUUAAUGACUCA